AGGAGUAUGGCGCAAUUGGUUAGCGCACCUCCCUGAUACGGAGGGGGUUUCUGGUUCGAAUCCAGAUACUCCUA
rnacentral:tRNA from 2 species